CGGUCCUAAGGUAGCGAAAUUCCUUGUCGGGUAAGUUCCGACCUGCACGAAUGGCAUAAUGAUGGCCAGGCUGUCUCCACCCGAGACUCAGUGAAAUUGAAAUCGCCGUGAAGAUGCGGUGUACCCGCGGCUAGACGGAAAGACCCCGUGAACCUUUACUAUAGCUUGACACUGAACAUUGAAUUUUGAUGUGUAGGAUAGGUGGGAGACUUUGAAGUAGUCACGCCAGUGAUUAUGGAGUCGUCCUUGAAAUACCACCCUUUAACGUUUGAUGUUCUAACGAAGAUUGCGAAACGCGGUCUCGGACAGUGUCUGGUGGGUAGUUUGACUGGGGCGGUCUCCUCCCAAAGCGUAACGGAGGAGCACGAAGGUUUGCUAAUCACGGUCGGACAUCGUGAGGUUAGUGCAAUGGUAUAAGCAAGCUUAACUGCGAGACAGACAAGUCGAGCAGGUACGAAAGUAGGUCAUAGUGAUCCGGUGGUUCUGAAUGGAAGGGCCAUCGCUCAACGGAUAAAAGGUACUCCGGGGAUAACAGGCUGAUUCCUCCCAAGAGUCCAUAUCGACGGAGGAGUUUGGCACCUCGAUGUCGGCUCAUCACAUCCUGGGGCUGUAGCAGGUCCCAAGGGUAUGGCUGUUCGCCAUUUAAAGUGGUACGCGAGCUGGGUUCAGAACGUCGUGAGACAGUUCGGUCCCUAUCUGCCGUGGGCGUUGGAGAUUUGAGGGAAGCUGUUCUUAGUACGAGAGGACCGGAAUGGACGAACCUCUGGUGUACCGGUUGUCACGCCAGUGGCACAGCCGGGUAGCUAUGUUCGGAAGGGAUAACCGCUGAAAGCAUCUAAGCGGGAAGCCCCUCCCAAGAUAAGAUCUCCCUGAGACUAUAAGUCUCCUAAAGAUCCGUUGUAGACUACGACGUUGAUAGGCUCCAUGUGGAAGUAUAGUAAUAUAUGCAGCUAAGGAGUACUAAUUGAUCGUGAGGCUUGAUCAU
rnacentral:rRNA from 1 species